AAAUACAUGACGCCACUUUUGAUAUUUUGAACAUUGAAUAUAUGCAAGAGGAACAAAUUGAAUGCCUUUUCACUAUUUGACAUAAUAUAGACAUGAUUUUUGCAUGAAAUGUCAUUUGUGUCAUUUUUUAUUUGAUGAGUAUGAAUUUUCUGCAAUUUUUUUUUUUUUUUUUAACCUGAAUAUUUGUGAUACAGAAAUCUGUGCAGUUUGACAAAUAUUUUUUGUUUGAUUUAUUCUUACAACUCCAGAAUGAUAUGUGGAGUACAGAUAAAUUUCUUUCAAUUGAGGAAAUUUGUAUUUCAAGUCCAGAUAAUUUUAGGUUUAUUUCUGCAGAAUUGAAGAUGUCAUAUUAACAGAGGUUAUAUAUUUCUUCAUUAGUUUGUACACUUCUUUUGAAUGACGUGCAAUUAUUGUCAGGUAGUAGCAAAAUGUGUUUCUCUUCAAAUUUAAAGGAGUGAAUCAAGCAGAUUCUCAUUCUAGAAAUACAUUUGUAGCUUAAGAAACUAUGUGCAAUAUUUAUAUAAUGCUUAUAAUCAAAGGCAAUGUAGGUUACACAAGUUGAGGCUCAUUUAAGACUAGAGUGAUGUUUAAAGGCACUCAUAUGAAUAUUUAUCAAAAACGAUACUAUUUUUGAUGUAUUUAUUUUGGUCUGUCAAUUUACUUAAAGAAAAUGUGGUAAAUGUUCAGUGAUUUGAACUUCUCAUUUAAGGGGCCGGGAUGUAAAUUGUCAGAGUAUUCAUUUAUUCAGAUUAACUAAUUAUAUGCCAAAUCCAGUGCUAUGAUUUGCUCAGACGUCCCAUGACGUCAGAAGCGAGAAAUCUUCAGUGACAAUUUUGGCCUUGUCGCUUGGAGGCGCUGUGUAAUCUGAGCAGCAAGAAUUGACACGUGUGUUGAUAAACAUAAUCACGAUAAUUCCAUAGAUUCACCGCUAUUUUGUCGUAUUUUGAUGAGCCAAUGUUGUUGAACCUUGCUACUUGCAUCUUUAUAUUGGA